rnacentral:lncRNA from 1 species
GGGUUAUUCUGUCUGAAUAAUCUGGUAUUAUUAUCUGUGUGGUCACAGCAGCACAGGAUUCUGGGGGGCUCACAGGUGUCCAGGCACUGCAAAGAAGUGUCACUAUAACCAGAUACACAAACAUCAAGGCCCAGCCUUCAAGACCCUGUGGAGGUCCCCUAGACCUCCUCCCUCUGCAAGAGAAGCCGGUGCCUGAAGCUCUGGACCUUCCUACUUGUCAUCCAAAGUGGGAUUUCCAGCCUUGUGAGGAGGGUGGGCAGCUCGUGUCCAGCACAGAGACCAUGUGGGCAGGAGUGCCUCACACAUUGUUGCUUGGGGCUUCCACAGCAUUAUUUCCCAUUAUAUCUUAUGUCAAACAAACACAUGGGUGACUGGAAAAUGCAGACCUCCUCUGCCUGGGCCUGCA